GAGACUCUGUGCGCGUGCAUAUCAAUAAGCGGAGGAAAAGAAACUAACAAGGAUUCCCUUAGUAACGGCGAGUGAAGCGGGAAGAGCUCAGAUUUGAAAUCUUCAAGGUUUUACCUUGACGAAUUGUAGUUUAAAGAAGUGUUUUCUGUUGGAGUUUUGGUAAAAGUUCUUUGGAAUAGGACAUCAUAGAGGGUGAGAAUCCCGUAUUUGACCAUUACUUUCCAGCUGUGUGAUACACUUUCAAAGAGUCGGAUUGUUUGGGAAUGCAGUCCAAAAUGGGUGGUAAAUUUCAUCUAAAGCUAAAUAUUGGCGAGAGACCGAUAGCGAACAAGUACCGUGAGGGAAAGAUGAAAAGAACUUUGAAAAGAGAGUUAAACAGUACGUGAAAUCGUCAAAAGGGAAGCGUUUGACACCAGUGUUGUUUUUCCGAAAAUCAAUUACGAAUGUUUUGUUUUUGAGGAGUUAUGACUUCAUCGGCUUGCUUCUCUCUUUACGAAACUUUCUUAAUGCACUUUUCGGUUAACAAGUCAACAUCAAUUUCUUUUGUUGUAAAAGGGUAUGAGGAAGGUGGCUUUCUUUUCGGAGAAAGUGUUUAUAGCCUUUGGCUUCUGCAAUCGGAGAGAUUGAGGUCUGCAGCGUAGAUCCUUCGGGGUUAGAUGCAUUUGUGCUAAGUUAUAGCCUUUCAUAGACAACUUGUUGACUAUGAUCAGUCAUGUAGCUUACUCGCUUAUGUCAUUUUACCUACGCUUAGGAUGUUGACAGCAGUAUAGACUGU
rnacentral:rRNA from 1 species